rnacentral:rRNA from 1 species
AUGCAGCCAUGCCGCGUGUGUGAAGAAGGCCUUCGGGGUUGUAAAGCACUUUCAGUAGGGAGGAAGGUAGUGUAGUUAACACCUGCAUUAUUUGACGUUACCUACAGAAGAAGCAACCGGCUAACUCCGUGCCAGCAGCCGCGGUAAUACGGAGGGGUGCGAGCGUUAAUCGGAAUUACUGGGCGUAAAGCGCAUGCAGGCGGCCUGUUAAGUCAGAUGUGAAAGCCCGGGGCUUAACCUCGGAAUUGCAUUUGAAACUGGCAGGCUAGAGUCUUGUAGAGGGGGGUAGGAAUUUCAGGUGUAGCGGUGAAAUGCGUAGAGAUCUGAAGGAAUACCAGUGGCGAAGGCGGCCCCCCUCGGACAAAGACUGACGCUCAGAUGCGAAAGCGUGGGGAGCAAACAGGAUUAGAUACCCCUGGUAG